UAGCUAAAUGCGGAAGAGAUAAGUGCUGAAAGCAUCUAAGCACGAAACUUGCCCCGAGAUGAGUUCUCCCUGAGACUUUAAGUCUCCUGAAGGAACGUUGAAGACGACGACGUUGAUAGGCCGGGUGUGUAAGCGCAGCGAUGCGUUGAGCUAACCGGUACUAAUGAACCGUGAGGCUUAACCUUACAACGCCGAAG
rnacentral:rRNA from 4 species